AAAUCAAAGUUAAUGCCACGUGCUGAUGGUCCCUUUAAGGCGUUAGAGAAAAUAAAUGAUAAUGCAUAUAAACUUGAGCUGCCUGCAGAUUUUGGGGUUAGUCCCACUUUUAACAUUGCAGAUUUGAAGCCUUAUUUGGGUGAGGAAGAUGAACUUCCGUCGAGGACGACUUCAUUUCAAGAAGGGGAGGAUGAUGAGGACAUCAAUACAAUUGUUACACCCACAGCCCCUGCUGCUAUACAUACUGGACCAAUUACUAGAGCUCGUGCACGCCAACUAAAUUACCAGGUACUUUCGUUUCUUGGUAAUGAUUUUAAUGUUCAUGAGAAUAUGAUGCUGCCUAAAUUGGAUACAUUUGUUUUGCUUACAGAUGAAGGGCCUAGCUUGGAGAAGGAUGAACAUUGGAGCAAGAACAAGCAUGGAGAUGAUGGCAUGCGCAAGGAGAACAAGAACGGAGUUACAAGUGAUGAUUUC
rnacentral:rRNA from 1 species